GACGAACGCUGGCGGCGUGCUUAACACAUGCAAGUCGAACGAUGAACCCGGAGCUUGCUCCGGUGGAUUAGUGGCGAACGGGUGAGUAACACGUGGGUGAUCUGCCCUGCACUUCGGGAUAAGCCUGGGAAACUGGGUCUAAUACCGGAUAGGACUCCGGACUGCAUGGUCUGGGGUGGAAAGCUUUUGCGGUGUGGGAUGGGCCCGCGGCCUAUCAGCUUGUUGGUGGGGUGAUGGCCUACCAAGGCGACGACGGGUAGCCGGCCUGAGAGGGUGACCGGCCACACUGGGACUGAGAUACGGCCCAGACUCCUACGGGAGGCAGCAGUGGGGAAUAUUGCACAAUGGGCGCAAGCCUGAUGCAGCGACGCCGCGUGAGGGAUGACGGCCUUCGGGUUGUAAACCUUUUUCAGCAUCGACGAAGCGAAAGUGACGGUAGGUGCAGAAGAAGGACCGGCCAACUACGUGCCAGCCGCCGCGGUAA
rnacentral:rRNA from 1 species